AGGCGAUCGCGACGACCAAUGGCGAGGCCGCGCGUUGGGGAACUUUCGAUGUCUGCGCGCACAGUCCGCCGUGUCAGGAUUUCACACUCACAGGCCGGUUGUGGUCGUUGGCUAAAGUGGCCUGACUCUUGUUCCUGUGUCUCAUUAGGACUUCCUGCACAUUGCUCACCACAACAGUAGAUGCGCGGGAGGAUCUCGUUCGGGGUCGUGUUGGGGUCAAGUCAUGUCUGAAAAUGCUCUUUAGUGUCCUGUGCACAUUCUGAACCUGUUUUUCCGUACAAAAUACAGACUAUUAACACUUGAGUUGAACAGUAA